UACAGAGGUCCCAAGCGUUGUUCGGAUUCAUUGGGCGUAAAGGGCGCGUAGGCGGUUCGUUAAGUCCUGUGUGAAAUCCCCCGGCUCAACUGGGGAACUGCACAGGAAACUAGCGGGCUUGAGUUCGGGAGAGGGAAGCGGAAUUCCGGGUGUAGCGGUGAAAUGCGUAGAUAUCGGGAGGAACACCAGUGGCGAAGGCGGCUACCUGGCCCACUCUUGACGCUGAGGCGCGAAAGCUAGGGGAGCAAACGGG
rnacentral:rRNA from 1 species